UACGUAGGGCGCAAGCGUUGUCCGGAAUUAUUGGGCGUAAAGAGCUCGUAGGCGGUCUGUUGCGUCCGCUGUGAAAACUCGGGGCUUAACCCCGAGCCUGCAGUGGAUACGGGCAGACUAGAGGUAGGUAGGGGAGAAUGGAAUUCCCGGUGUAGCGGUGAAAUGCGCAGAUAUCAGGAGGAACACCGGUGGCGAAGGCGGGUCUCUGGGCAACAACUGACGCUGAGGAGCGAAAGCGUGGGGAGCGAACAGG
rnacentral:rRNA from 1 species